AGGGAUAGAGACAGCCCUGGGGCUCUGGCCAUCCAUCACAGUCACUGUAGUCAUCUCCCUCCUUGACAGACUCCCUGGAGAGAACUGAAGUAAGGAAUUUCUAUCUCCUCUCACCCACCUGAACUAGACCAGUCCCUUUGGGGCCCCUUGUGGCACUGAUGGUGAGGGAGGGGAAAAGGAGGAGGCAGGAAGGGGGGAUGAUGGAAUGAAAAUGGAGCCUGAGAGUAUUGGAGUGAGAGGGGCACUGACUUCUGUCAGAGAACUUACUGGGAUUCCCAUUGCUAGACCAUGGAGUUUGGGGUAGGGUUGUUGGGAGAAGGGCUUCUGCCUCACCAAGGUGGGCACUGACAUCACUGCCCACCACAUCUCUGAUUGGAGGGAUUAACAAAGGGGAGGGUCUGGCAAGCCAGAACUCAUCUUCUCCUGUCUGCUUGUGCCCCUAGGGCUGCUAAUGGAUGUCUGAGAGGGGAGAGGGGUCCAGAAAUUUGCCCAAAGGCCACUCUGAGGAUCGGUUGGCAGAAAAUUGGUCAGGAAACACAAGCCACAGACUGCUAAAUCUAGUCCCCAAAGAAAGAAAAGAUCCCUGCUCAUCACUCCAGUACCAUAGCUUUCCAUUCUGAGGAAUCUUGGAGAGAAGACUAAAGAGGAGUGUCAAAAGGGCCUUGGGAAACAUCUUCCUGUAUUACGAGGAGAGAUGAAGAGGCCAAAGGCCUGCUAAUGAAUGUCUUAGAGGGGACAGACGUCAGAAAUUUAUCCAAAGGCUACCCUGAGACUCACUUUUCAGAAAAUACAUCAGGAAACAAAAGGGACAGAUGGCGGAAUCCACUCCCAAGGGAAAGAAAUUAUCUGUGCAGGUCAUUCCAGAACCAUGCCAUUACAUUUGGAGUUACGGUGGCAGAAGCCCAAAGGCGGCCCACAGAGGCACUUUCAGAUACACAUGCCUGACUGAGGCAGAAGAGUCAUGGCAACCCAAGGCAACACAGGCUGGCAAUAUUCAUUCCUAUGGAAUGCGAUGGUGGAAGAGUCAGACAUCUCUCCUCCUCGACUAGUCUGUGAUGUUCUACCAGCCAGAGGGAGAUUGCUUCUCCCCCAACAUGCAAAGAUCAUGGAUAUCUCUCACUCAACUUGUCUCUCUCUGCUUCCACAAAGACUGAAGAAGAACAAGAAUUAAGAAGCAGGAGCCCAAUUCAAUGUAGCAUUGGGGCUCAGCGUAUAGGGAACAGCUUUCCCUGGAGGGCUAUAAACACUUCAUCACCACCAAAAUUGAUUCCAGCAAGCAAUUCUGUUCAUAGAUAUCUAAGGCAAUGCACACACAAAAAGGAGUGGGCACAGUGUACCCCCCUCAACCUGGUCUGAUCUCUUCUCAUUGAUAACCAUUGAUGCCCAAGGGAUGGGAUGGAAGUAGGCCAAUAGAUAUCUAAGGCAAUGCACACACAAAAAGGAGUGGGCACAGUGUACCCCCCCUCAACCAGGUCUGAUCUCUUCUCAUUGAUAACCAGUGAUGCCCAAGGGAUAGGAUGGAAAAUGGGCCAGAGACUCAAGACUAGGAAGAAGACACACUGCACACACUCCUGUACCCAUAAAUACAAUCAUUUCCUAAAGAAUUUUUUCGUCCAUAUUCAUUCAUAAUCAUGCAGAGGAGGCAAUAGAAGGAGUUCCA
ensembl:lncRNA